rnacentral:tRNA from 1 species
UCCUCAGUAGCUCAGUGGUAGAGCGAUCGGCUGUUAACCGACAGGUCGUAGGUUCGAAUCCUACUUGGGGAG